GGCUCGUUGGUCUAGGGGUAUGAUUCUUGCUAAGGGUGCAAGAUGUUCCGGGUUCAAAUACUGGAUGAGACC